GACCCUUCGGGAGCUGUUACAGGUGUUGCAUGGCUGUCGUCAGCUCGUGUCGUGAGAUGUUCGGUUAAGUCCCGCAACGAGCGCAACCCCUACUUGUUAGUUGCCAUCAUUCAGUUGGGCACUCUAGCGAGACUGCCGGUAAUAAACCGGAGGAAGUGGGGAUGACGUCAAAUCAUCAUGCCCCUUAUGACCUGGGCUACACACGUGCUACAAUGGUUGGUACAACGAGUUGCGAGUCGGUGACGGCGAGCUAAUCUCUUAAAGCCAAUCUCAGUUCGGAUUGUAGGCUGCAACUCGCCUACAUGAAGUCGGAAUCGCUAGUAAUCGCGGAUCAGCACGCCGCGGUGAAUACGUUCCCGGGCCUU
rnacentral:rRNA from 1 species